GACGAACGCUGGCGGCGUGCUUAACACAUGCAAGGUCGAGCGGUAAGGCCCUUUCGGGGGUACACGAGCGGCGAACGGGUGAGUAACACGUGGGUGACCUGGCCCUCAGCUCUGGGAUAAGCCUGGGAAACCGGGUCGUAAUACCGGAUAUGACUCCAUGACGCAUGUUGUGGGGUGGAAAGCCUUGUGCGGCUGAGGAUGGGCCCGCGGCCCUAUCAGCUUGUUGGUGGGGUGAUGGCCUACCAAGGCGACGACGGGUAGCCGGCC
rnacentral:rRNA from 1 species